rnacentral:rRNA from 1 species
AUCGAACGCUGGCGGCAGGCCUAACACAUGCAAGUCGAACGAAUGGCGGACGGGUGAGUAAUUGCUUGACAACUGCCUGAUCGACGCGGAUAACUACUAGAACCCGUGGCUACUACCGCAUACCACCCGUUGUGCCCAGAUUGGAUUAGCUAGUAGGUGGGGUAAAGGCUCACCUAGGCGACGAUCCCUAGCUGGUCUGAGAGGCUGACCAGCCACACUGGAACUGAGACACGGUCCAGACUCCUACGGGAGGCAGCAGUGGGGAAUAUUGGGCAAUGGGCGCAAGCCUGAUGGAGCCACGCCGCGUGUGUGAAGAAGGCCUUCGGGUUGUAAAGUACUGUCAGCGGGGAGGCGGUACCCGCAGAAGAAGCACCGGCUAACUCCGUGCCAGCAGCCGCGGUAAUAC